rnacentral:rRNA from 1 species
GCGAUAUCUGGUGGACCGUUUAUAGAUGAAGAAAAUGACUGUAAUUUAUAAAAAAGACCCGGCAAACUUCGUGCCAGCAGCCGCGGUGAAACGGAGGGGUCUAGUGUUAUUCAACGUAACUGGGCGUAAAAGCAUGUAGUCGGAUAGCUAAGUUUGUUAAAAAAAAGACGUGGGGUUGAACCUAUGAGUUGAAUAUUGUUACUGGCUGUCUUUGAAUCUUGGAGGAGUUAUCGGCCCUUUGAAUGGAGAGGUAAAAUUCGUAGAUAUUCACGGUACGACCGGUGGUGGAAACUGAUAACUAUUUAAGAUUGACGAUGAGAUGCUAAAGUGUAGGGAUCAAAAAGGAUUCGAUACCCUUGUAGUCUACACCCUGACCGAUGAGUGUUGGAUUUAAAUUUUUAAGAAAAUUUUUGUCUAAUGUUAACGCAAAAACACUCCGCCUAGGAACUACAAUCGCAAGAUUAAAACUUAAAGGAAUUGACGGAGAGUUUUUUUCAGUGGUGGAGCAUGUGGUUUAAUGUGAUUCAACGCGCCAAAUCUUACCAAUCCUAGUUAUUAAUAUAUAUUGAAUGUAGUUUUUCAAUAAAAAUUAAUUGCGUAUAUACAUAUAAUUGCAUUAAUUUUUAAUUUAUUAAUAUCAGUUGAUGCAUGGCCGUCGUCAGUCCGUGCUUUGAAGUGUUUGGUUAGAUCUCUA